CCGAGUAAUCCUGCUUGCAGGAACUCCCACCCUUGUCUAUUUGACUGUUGCUUCGGCGAGACGCUGGAAACAGCCACUUGGGAUGUCCGAUUCCGACGUCCCGGUGCGGGCUCGCCGAAGAUCACAUACUCUUGAGAUUAUGUAUGGUCAGAGCAUCAAGCAAUAUAUCA
rnacentral:misc_RNA from 1 species